GACGAACGCUGGCGGCGUGCUUAACACAUGCAAGUCGAACGGAAAGGCUCCAGCUUGCUGGAGUACUCGAGUGGCGAACGGGUGAGUAACACGUGGGUAAUCUGCCCUGCACUCUGGGAUAAGCCUGGGAAACUGGGUCUAAUACUGGAUAUGACCUUUCUUCUUAUGGGGUUUGGUGGAAAGUUUUUCGGUGUAGGAUGAGCCCGCGGCCUAUCAGCUUGUUGGUGGGGUGAUGGCCUACCAAGGCGACGACGGGUAGCCGGCCUGAGAGGGUGAUCGGCCACAUUGGGACUGAGAUACGGCCCAGACUCCUACGGGAGGCAGCAGUGGGGAAUAUUGCACAAUGGGCGGAAGCCUGAUGCAGCGACGCCGCGUGAGGGAUGACGGCCUUCGGGUUGUAAACCUCUUUCAGCAGGGACGAAGCGUAAGUGACGGUACCUGCAGAAGAAGCACCGGCUAACUACGUG
rnacentral:rRNA from 1 species